CCGGCGGAGAAGGCGCGGGCCAUCUCCCCGAAGAGGAGCGAGUUCAUCAUCCUCCCGGCCGGGAGCCCUCGCAGCAGGGAGGGGGAGCGACGGGGACUGGGAUCCUGUCAGCAGCGGGGGCGGAUUGCAGUGGUAUGUCUAUACCCUUGGAGAUGUGUGAAGUGAUGAUAAACAUUCUGGAAACAGAAGCACCUGGAACAGACCCAAGCAGAUGAUUGGGUGAGUUCAGCAGGAAAGGAUUCAGCAGGAUCCUUUGAAAUGGGCCAGUUCCUUUCGCUAGACCCAUCUGCAAAUUAGGAAGAAAAAGAAAAGCUGACACAUAUAUAUAUUGAGAGACAAGGGGACAGUGCAACUCUUCUUUGGGAAACACCAUGCCGACUGUGCAUUAAGAUCUGAAGCUACCCUGUGAGUGAGGUAAUGUGCAAACAUGCUAAUGAAGACUUCUGAAACCUGAACACAAGGCCGCAGAGAGAGUGUGACCAGUGGCUAGAGUUCCAGAGGAGAAGCGGCCACAGGCCAGGGAAUAACAUACACUGAUCCUGGAUGCUGCUGAAUUUGCCGGGCCUCUGCUAAGAAAAUGUGUGCUAAUUCUCCACAGUUACGAACAAUGUUGGGAGCCCUAAAUAUAGACAGCCCACUGAUUUCAGGUGUCUGGCACUGGCCACUGUUGAAAGACAGGAUACU